CCUACGGGGUGCUGCAGUCGAGAAUCAUUCACAAUGGGGGAAACCCUGAUGGUGCGACGCCGCGUGGGGGAAUGAAGGUCUUCGGAUUGUAAACCCCUGUCAUGUGGGAGCAAAUUAAAAAGAUAGUACCACAAGAGGAAGAGACGGCUAACUCUGUGCCAGCAGCCGCGGUAAUACAGAGGUCUCAAGCGUUGUUCGGAAUCACUGGGCGUAAAGCGUGCGUAGGCUGUUUCGUAAGUCGUGUGUGAAAGGCGCGGGCUCAACCCGCGGACGGCACAUGAUACUGCGAGACUAGAGUAAGGGAGGGGGAACCGGAAUUCUCGGUGUAGCAGUGAAAUGCGUAGAGAUCGAGAGGAACACUCGUGGCGAAGGCGGGUUCCUGGACAUUAACUGACGCGGAGGCACGAAGGCCAGGGGAGCGAAAGGGAUUAGAUACCCCGGUAGUC
rnacentral:rRNA from 1 species